rnacentral:rRNA from 1 species
GGUUAAGUUAGAAAGGGCGCACGGUGGAUGCCUUGGCACUAGGAGCCGAUGAAGGACGGGACUAACACCGAUAUGCUUCGGGGAGCUGUAAGUAAGCUUUGAUCCGGAGAUUUCCGAAUGGGGGAACCCACUGCUCGUAAUGGAGCAGUAUCUUUACCUGAAUACAUAGGGUAUUGAAGGCAGACCCGGGGAACUGAAACAUCUAAGUACCCGGAGGAAGAGAAAGCAAACGCGAUUCCCUGAGUAGCGGCGAGCGAAACGGGACAUAGCCCAAACCAAGAGGCUUGCCUCUUGGGGUUGUAGGACACUCAACAUGGAGUUACAAAGGAACGGGGUAGAUGAAGCGAUCUGGAAAGGUCCGUCAUAGAAGGUAAAAACCCUGUAGUUGAAACUUCGUUCCCUCCUGAGUGGAUCCUGAGUACGGCCGGACACGUGAAAUCCGGUCGGAAGCUGGGAGGACCAUCUCCCAAGGCUAAAUACUCCCUAGUGACCGAUAGUGAACCAGUACCGUGAGGGAAAGGUGAAAAGCACCCCGGAAGGGGAGUGAAAGAGAUCCUGAAACCGUGUGCCUACAAGUAGUCAGAGCCCGUUU